rnacentral:rRNA from 1 species
GGGUUGUGAGGUUAAGCGACUAAGCGUACACGGUGGAUGCCCUGGCAGUCAGAGGCGAUGAAGGACGUGCUAAUCUGCGAUAAGCGUCGGUAAGGUGAUAUGAACCGUUAUAACCGGCGAUUUCCGAAUGGGGAAACCCAGUGUGUUUCGACACACUAUCAUUAACUGAAUCCAUAGGUUAAUGAGGCGAACCGGGGGAACUGAAACAUCUAAGUACCCCGAGGAAAAGAAAUCAACCGAGAUUCCCCCAGUAGCGGCGAGCGAACGGGGAGCAGCCCAGAGCCUGAAUCAGUGUGUGUGUUAGUGGAAGCGUCUGGAAAGGCGCGCGAUACAGGGUGACAGCCCCGUACACAAAAAUGCACAUGCUGUGAGCUCGAUGAGUAGGGCGGGACACGUGGUAUCCUGUCUGAAUAUGGGGGGACCAUCCUCCAAGGCUAAAUACUCCUGACUGACCGAUAGUGAACCAGUACCGUGAGGGAAAGGCGAAAAGAACCCCGGCGAGGGGAGUGAAAAAGAACCUGAAACCGUGUACGUACAAGCAGUGGGAGCACGCUUAGGCGUGUGACUGCGUACCUUUUGUAUAAUGGGUCAGCGACUUAUAUUCUGUAGCAAGGUUAACCGAAUAGGGGAGCCGAAGGGAAACCGAGUCUUAACUGGGCGUUAAGUUGCAGGGUAUAGACCCGAAACCCGGUGAUCUAGCCAUGGGCAGGUUGAAGGUUGGGUAACACUAACUGGAGGACCGAACCGACUAAUGUUGAAAAAUUAGCGGAUGACUUGUGGCUGGGGGUGAAAGGCCAAUCAAACCGGGAGAUAGCUGGUUCUCCCCGAAAGCUAUUUAGGUAGCGCCUCGUGAAUUCAUCUCCGGGGGUAGAGCACUGUUUCGGCAAGGGGGUCAUCCCGACUUACCAACCCGAUGCAAACUGCGAAUACCGGAGAAUGUUAUCACGGGAGACACACGGCGGGUGCUAACGUCCGUCGUGAAGAGGGAAACAACCCAGACCGCCAGCUAAGGUCCCAAAGUCAUGGUUAAGUGGGAAACGAUGUGGGAAGGCCCAGACAGCCAGGAUGUUGGCUUAGAAGCAGCCAUCAUUUAAAGAAAGCGUAAUAGCUCACUGGUCGAGUCGGCCUGCGCGGAAGAUGUAACGGGGCUAAACCAUGCACCGAAGCUGCGGCAGCGACGCUGAUGCGUUGUUGGGUAGGGGAGCGUUCUGUAAGCCUGCGAAGGUGUGCUGUGAGGCAUGCUGGAGGUAUCAGAAGUGCGAAUGCUGACAUAAGUAACGAUAAAGCGGGUGAAAAGCCCGCUCGCCGGAAGACCAAGGGUUCCUGUCCAACGUUAAUCGGGGCAGGGUGAGUCGACCCCUAAGGCGAGGCCGAAAGGCGUAGUCGAUGGGAAACAGGUUAAUAUUCCUGUACUUGGUGUUACUGCGAAGGGGGGACGGAGAAGGCUAUGUUGGCCGGGCGACGGUUGUCCCGGUUUAAGCGUGUAGGCUGGUUUUCCAGGCAAAUCCGGAAAAUCAAGGCUGAGGCGUGAUGACGAGGCACUACGGUGCUGAAGCAACAAAUGCCCUGCUUCCAGGAAAAGCCUCUAAGCAUCAGGUAACAUCAAAUCGUACCCCAAACCGACACAGGUGGUCAGGUAGAGAAUACCAAGGCGCUUGAGAGAACUCGGGUGAAGGAACUAGGCAAAAUGGUGCCGUAACUUCGGGAGAAGGCACGCUGAUAUGUAGGUGAAGUCCCUUGCGGAUGGAGCUGAAAUCAGUCGAAGAUACCAGCUGGCUGCAACUGUUUAUUAAAAACACAGCACUGUGCAAACACGAAAGUGGACGUAUACGGUGUGACGCCUGCCCGGUGCCGGAAGGUUAAUUGAUGGGGUCAGCGCAAGCGAAGCUCUUGAUCGAAGCCCCGGUAAACGGCGGCCGUAACUAUAACGGUCCUAAGGUAGCGAAAUUCCUUGUCGGGUAAGUUCCGACCUGCACGAAUGGCGUAAUGAUGGCCAGGCUGUCUCCACCCGAGACUCAGUGAAAUUGAACUCGCUGUGAAGAUGCAGUGUACCCGCGGCAAGACGGAAAGACCCCGUGAACCUUUACUAUAGCUUGACACUGAACAUUGAGCCUUGAUGUGUAGGAUAGGUGGGAGGCUUUG